UGCGUUUGUUCGGGCCUUCUCUCUGAAAUCUCUAUCAGUGCUUCUAAAUGGCAUAGGCGUGGGCAUCGGUGAUGGCUCAGUAGAUCUAAACCUGUCGGAAAAUCUGAGCAAUUGGAAAAUGUUUGUGCUCGCUCACCUCCUGACAAAGGAAACAAUAACUAACACAGUGGGAAGCUGCAGCUAUCUUCUGACACAUUAUGUUUCUAGCCCCAAAAUGUCACCUGCAACCCACAGAAGGGAGAUGAAUGAAAACCAGCAGUGGCCCUGAAACACACCAAAGGAGAAAAAAAAAUCCAGCUGUAAAAUCGACUGAGAUUUCUUUAAAGCCCAACACGCUGUUGACGGCGGACUUUCGCCGAGUCUGAGCUUGUAUUCUCUUGUAAGGUCAAGGGUCUUCUAAUUGACCAGGCAGGGGAACUUAAGUCUCUAAUUUGAGGAGUAACUGCAGCAUGUGACUUCUUUGCAGGAAGUCCCGAGAGAGAAAAGCUAGGUAAAUCUUAGGAUGUUUUUCACAUGAAAAUGCAAAGAUUCCGAGUGUAUAAUGUUUUAAACAGAGGUGACCCAGGAAUUCACCUUGUCCUUUGGAGUCGAUUCUACACAUUUUACAGGGAGUGUCCUGUGGUAUUAGCAGGAGGAUUCCUUAGAGCUUGUAUAGGUUGAAUGCAGGUGAUGAGGAGGUAUGAUUUAUUAUUUAUUAUGAUUUAUUAACUUCACACUAAAAUUCUUCUUAGAACUUUCCCAAAUAGCUAGUUUUGGAAAUCACGCGAUCUUUCUCAAAUAUAAAUAUUACUUAAUUAACCAAAUUAAAAACAUAUGUUUAUUAAAUCUGAGGUGGGGCUGAUGGAGGUGGGGGAGGGUAGUUGAAGGAUCAUCAGGGAUGGGAGAGGCACGCCAGAGGAGUGAAAACACAUUUUAUGUAUGGAUUAAAAUUCUGCAAAGAGACUGACGAGCAUAUGAUUUAAAAAUCUUAGAUUAUUUGAGCUAAUGACAUAACUGUGGGACUCUUUAGAGUGAAGUUACUAGCAAUCAGGAAAUAAAAACCAUAAUUGAAUUUAAUGUAUCUGCCAGACCAUAGAAUGUCUCAUUUCUCCUAGUUUCCCAUAUUCCUGCUUGGUUUGUUUUGUUCUGGCGGAUAUUGAAAACGGUGAUAUCUUCUGAACAAAUACUGAACAAAAGUAACUUAAAAUUUGUUUCUUUGUGACAGUGCCUUAUGUGACCCAACUGAAUCCAACUCAUUAAAAAAUUUGAUCCUCCUGCCCCUACCUUCCAGGGCAGAGAAGCACCCUAGGCCCAACAGAUGCCACAUAGAAUGCCAACUUAUAUUUACACUUUUUAUUUUUCUACUUUGAAUUAACACAAACCAAGUUUCAUACCUGAUUUCCCAUUUCAGAAAGAGGAUGCUACUGCAUUGAGUUAUUGCUUAAUCAUGCAUUAUUAUCUUCUCAAUAAUAUUCACAACAAACUCACAGACAACUGAGGUCACCCUGUAAGGUUGUAAAGAUGAUUUACAAUCAGGUGGAAAGGUAUAAUAUGAAGAUUCAAAGGCAAGGAACUCACAGGAGAGACAAGAAGAGGCCUUAUCCUACCUGGUAAGGUCAUCUAUUAUAUUCAUUUGAACGGGAGCAUUCCAUUUUAAAAUUAAAUAAAAUAUGAGAUAGGAAAUUAUAUAGGCACCUUGGUUUCAUUUCCUGUUGUUGGGAUAAAACAAAACAAAACAAAACAAAACAAAACAAAAAAAAAACGACAAAAGCAACUUCCAGCAGAAAGGGCUUAUUUGGCUCAAAGUUGCAGGUUAUGCUCUGCCCAUCAUCAUGAGGGAUUCAAGGAGGGAUUCAAGCUAGCAGCAGGCAGCAUGUUACAUCCAUAAUCAAGAGCACAGGGCAGUGGAUUGAUGUGCACACGCCAGUAGAGCCCAGCACACCUUUUCUAUUUUUAUACAGUCCACAAUUCCCUAGAAAAUGUUGCCACCCACAAUGUGUGGGUCUUCUCACCUCAGUUAGCUUGGUCAAGACAAUUCCGUACAACAUGCCCCAAGUCAACCUGCUUUAGACAGUCCACCAUUGAGACUCCCAUCCCUGGCAGUGGGGCUUAGGAGCUUUUCAUAUUUGUAAUUGCUGCAUUAUUGUCUUUUUUUAAAAGAACACUUAGGUAUAAUUUCUCAUAUCUUUCCUUUUUAUAGGUAUAAGAUUUCAGUAAAGGAAAGUCAACCUCAUCACAGAGUGUGGAUGCUGGUGGAUUACAUGCACAGACCAACCUGUGUCAGCCUUUGUUGAUAUGUUCGGUAUGAUUGGUAUAAUUUAGGUGCUAAUAGAAUAAUUUAACAUAUAUCGAGAGUGUGCAAUAUUAAGUUAGGUAAGCAGACCCAGUUGUAUCCCAUCACUGUUGUAUGAUUAAUAAUUGGACCAGCAAUGAACUUUCUCUGAUUUUCUACGCACGUGGAGCUGCCAGAGACCAGUAACUGUUCCAUGAUUAUUAAUAAAACAACUCUUCUCAAAAGCGAGUCUUCCCUGACUUUCCUUUCCCUCUCACUUGAGAUCUCUCUGGCAGGAAACAUGCCAUGAUAUAUCAAGCACUCAGCAGAAAUUCAUAGGAAACAUUACACAUUUACAACCCCCUUUUAUUCUGUAAAACUUCAUUUUAGUCAUGUAGGCAUUAUGUUAUACUCUGAUAUUUUAGCAGUAGUUGGCACAAUAUAUUACCAGAGAAAUAUGUUAGAAAGGGAAAAGGAACAAGGCUUUGGAUGAUUAAGUUAUAUUAACAGCUUUCUCAGGCUUUAUUUAAAAAUUGAUACAAUAAAUGUCACUUUAAAUAUUUUAUAAUAUAUUUAAUCUAGAGGAGCAGGGGUUUUACAAUUUAUUAUCGAACAUAGUAUUACUUAACAAAGUUUCUUGUAGAAAAUUUAUUAGUGUGUAGAAUAAAGAAAAAUAAAUGUGUGUGUCCCGCUUUUUUGCUACAUGUAAAAUUGUUUGGUACAUUAAAAUAAAUAAAUAAAUAAAUAAAUAAAUAAACAAAUAAAUAAAUAAAUACAUGUGAUUUGGAUGACAGUAGACUAAUACUACACAUAUAAGGAAUGUGUAAAUUAUUUGGUGUUUCUGAUUUUAGUUUUUGACCUAACAUGCAUUAAUCAAAUUAGUAACUGAUUUUGUGAGGUCCUAGUUCAUAAGGGAUUUAAACCUUUCUCUUGGGAUGUUGACUGCUUCCAGAUUAUGCAACAAAACAAACUAAUUAAUUGGAUCUAUCCAUCCACCCAUCAAUUGAUCUGUGAUCUACUCCUUCAUCUAUGUUGGUUACAUUUUUGUCAACUUGACAGAAGCUAGAGUCAUCUAUGAAUUGGGAAUGACAGUUGGAGAACCGCACCCAUCAAAUUGGUCUGUAAACAAGUCUGCAGACCAUUUUCAUGAUUGGUGACUGAUGUGUGGCACUGUGGGAAGUGCCACCCACAGCAGUGAAGUGACCAUGCAGAUCAGAAUAACAAAAUGUCAUUCCUAUGAAGAGAUGUAGCAUAAGAGUGCUAUGGAACACCAGGUACAGAAGCCAAGGAGCAUUUUAGAAGCCUUCCACUGAUAGCAGAGAUGGAACCAUUUUACAGACAUUGCUCUGACUGAGAAAUUGUUAGUACAAUGCUCUGAGUUCUUCCUCAUUGAGGAGUAUCGGCUGGAUCGUCUCAUGAAUCAGGUGGACUUAUGUUGGAGGGUUACAUGGAGUAGGUUUGGGGGAAGGUUAGUAUAGUUCAUAUCACUUAUAGCCUGGAAGCAGUUUCAAUGACGAGGAACUAAUUUUUCACUUUCUGUCAACUGCUUUGUCCUGAAUGUGUAUAGAGCUUGAUGCUGGUCUCUACAUUAAAAGUUCUGUGUUAUGAAGAU
ensembl:lincRNA Gm37041 predicted gene, 37041